UUUGUCUGAGUUGGCUCGCUCACAGAACCACCUUCAAUACAGUCCUAAGAACUGUAAGCAAAUGGCAUGGACAGGUGUUGCAGUCCUCUCUUACUGUCAGAAAACAUGAUGUAAAAGAAAAUUCCAUGUACCUGGAGGUUUUCUCAUCAUUCAGUACUGCAAAAGAUACCAAGACCAUGUUUCAGUCAGGACAUCGUAGAGGGCGGAGCCUCUGUGAAGAAUUGACACUUGAGGAAACAGAAAAGGGGGUAUUAGUUGUCUCAGGAAUCAAUGACUGCUCAGCCAACCAGAGGCUACAAAAA